rnacentral:rRNA from 1 species
UACGUAGGGGGCUAGCGUUGUCCGGAUUUAUUGGGCGUAAAGAGCGUGUAGGCGGCCAGGUAGGUCUGCUGUGAAAACUCGAGGCUCAACCUCGAGACGUCGGCGGAAACCAUCUGGCUAGAGUCCGGAAGAGGAGAGUGGAAUUCCUGGUGUAGCGGUGAAAUGCGCAGAUAUCAGGAAGAACACCCGUGGCGAAGGCGGCUCUCUGGGACGGUACUGACACUGAGACGCGAAAGCGUGGGGAGCAAACAGG